GCCAGCAUAGCUCAGUUGGUAGAGCAGUUGCUUUGUAAGCAUCAGGUCGUGGGUUCGAAUCCCUCUGCUGGCUCCA
rnacentral:tRNA from 1 species